UGUGCAGCUACUCCAAUUCUGUGUUAAUGGCCCUUCAAUAUAUUUGUUUUUCUUACCAGGUUCACUGUUUUCACACAACUUCCAUGAUUUACCUUCUGCCUUAGCACUUUCUUCAUAUCUUCUGUUCCAAUUUUUAGUCUUCUGCUUUUAAGACUAUGUCUUCCUAGGGACAUAUCCAUUGGUAUUUUCAUAAAACUCCCUGUUCAGAGUGCUUUGGGACAGGUUUAAAUAUUUGCAAGGUACUAGGCAGAUGGUAGCUGCCAGCAGAUCAAUAUCUGUCUCCAAGACCAGAGUGUCUGUCAGAAUUUUUGGUUUUAGAUGGGGUAUACCUGUCUGAAAGUGGGGAACAGGAUCUUUGCGCAAGGAGGACUGACUGAAAGAGCUUUAAACUGGAUUUGAAGAGGGACAGGGAUAAAAGCAGGCUCACUAGAGAGCAACUGGGGGCUGCAUGCCAACUGGGGAAUGGUGUGAUAGCAAGAUACUCCAGUCUGCUGUGUAGCUGGAGAUAGGGACUGGACAUGCAUGCAGCAGCAGAGACAGCAGGGUUAGAAAUGACAGAAGCACCUAAGAAUGGUCACACUGGGAUUAGGGCUUUUUUCCUCAGAAAAGGUGGUGGAAUCAACAGCCCAGAUGAAAUAUAUCUGCACCAAUGUGUGUGUGCAGCACGAGCAACAAAUAGGAUGAGCUGGAAGACAUAGUGCACCAAGAGGUCUGGGAUAUAGUUGCCAUAAUAGAAAUGUCAUACAAGAGGAAGACAAAAAAGACACUGAGAUGCUGGAGAAUGUCCAGAGAAGGGCAAUGGAGCUGGUGGAGGAUCUGGAGCAAAAUCCUAUAAGGAGCAGCUGAGGGAGCUGGGGCUGUUCAGCAGGAGAAAAUGAGGCUCAGGGGAGACCUCAUAAUUCUUAUAACCACCUGAAAUGAGGUUCUGGUGAGGUGUAGGUCAGUCUCUUCUUCCAAGAAACAAGAGGAAAUGGCCUCAAGUUGUGUCACAAAAAGUUUAGAUUGGAUAUUAGAAGAAAUUUCUUCACUUGAAGAGUUGCUAAGCAUUGAAACAGGCUGCUCAGGGAAGUGGCUGAGUCACCAUACCUUGAAUAUUUAAAAGACAUGUAGAUAUGGAACCUGGGGACACAGUUCAGUAGUGGACUUAGCAGUCCUGGAUCAAGUUGAACUUGAUGAUCUUAAAGGUCUUUUCAAACCUAAACUAUUCUCUGAUUUUGAGCUGAUACACUGCAGAUCAGUUAAAGCAUCCACCUUUUUAAUCCAGGAAGCAGGUAUUGGUGGUCUGUGAUGACAGAAAGCAAGUUCCUCAUCAAUGAGAGCUGUCAUUUUGAAGCACAUCACACGAUGACACAGAUUAGCUUGCAUUGCCGCAUCCUGGCUAGAAGUGAAAUGGAACUAAUGCCUGGGAUAUGGAAGAGGAAUGCAUGAUUGUAGUGGAUGAAGUGCAUCAGACCUUGUUGUCCUUUGAAAUUUUCAACAAGACAACAGUAACAAUUCUCAAGGUUUGCAGCUUUUUCCUAAAAGCCAAUGCACAGCAAGAGGCAACAGAGAUUAUGCAGAUCAGACAAUCACAGUGGCUAUCCUUCAAAUCAAGAGAAAGCAGUGGAAAAUUACUGGAGCAGGCUUAACAAACAAGUGGAAACUUGUCCUGUCUCAGAAAAAGACCUGGGGUAUUGUCAUAUGGUUUGUUUGUCUGUCUGUUGGUUUGUUUUCCUUAAUCUGACUCAGAGAGUCUUGUAGGGAAAGGGGAAAAAACAAGGGUGGGGCUGGUGAAUAGAAGAAGGUUUUCAUGUAUACCAUUCGUGUCACAGAAUAUAGAUGGAUAACAAUGUUUUUAAUUUUGGAGUGUCUUUUUCCUAAAGAAAUCAAGAAAGGGCUGCAGACCACCAAAGAGGGUGAGUUCCAGUUUUGAAGUGGAAACUGUCCUAUGUUUAGUACAAAUAGCUGAGAAACAUGCUUUGUAGAAAAAUAGCUGGGAACUCAGAAAUAAAUUAGAUUUGCAUUUAGAAUCCUGAGAGUGAGUAUCAGUGAUCUCUGUGAUUCCAGGACUCAUCCAUACCACUUCUGCCUGGAUCAUUCAGGAAAUCAUUACUUGAAGGCUCCCCUCUGGAGCAGAUCUCUGAUCUCUUGAAGGUCUCAAUACAUGGUAAUUUGAUGAAAUACACAAGCAGGUCAUUGAGACAGCCUGGUGCUUACUGAGUACUGUGAUCAGAGUGUUUCACAGUCCUGCUAAGUUUCCUUCUGUUUCUGGCAGACUGAAUCUCAAGCUCUUUUUUGUUGAGUGCAGCAACUUCAAUGUAAACAAUAUAAAAAAGUGGACCAGUGGGAUGGGAAAGAAACAAAAAGAAGAGUAGCAUCAUCAUUGCUGCUGAUAGAUUGUUCCUAAAGCUUUUUAUGUUGUUUUCUUUCCUUAGAUUUUUAAGGAGAUACGGGAAUAUAAACAUUUUGGGAGGCACAUGAGA